rnacentral:sRNA from 1 species
AUUAAGUCUAUAGCUGUAUGUAAGACAGAAACAUGUAUACAAGGAAGAAAAACAAAAGAAUGUUCCCUAUCUUGAAAAACUUGACAAAUUACGACACGAUUAGUCAAAACCUCUUGUACCACCGAAGUAGCUUUUCUAAUUUCAAACAAACCUUGGGUUAGACAUUCUAGUCUGCUUCAAAUCUGCGAUUGAAUACUCUGUGCACAUUAGGAAAUCAAGCACUCGAAACUUGUAUUCACACCUUACUAGUUAGAUAUAGUAGUGAAA